rnacentral:lncRNA from 1 species
GUGUGUGUGUGUGUGUGUGUGUGUGCACGCGCACACGUGCACAUGCAUGUAUGUGUGAGUGUGUGCUUGUGCGUGUGUGCAUGUGGUGGACCUAGAGAUGGGUAUCGCUGGGAGCAUACUCAGCAGACAGAUUUCAGCUCUCAGGUCCUUUAGGGCUAUCCUCAAUUGCAUAGAGCUUCUUGGCUCAAAACCAUAUCCUACUUGAAAAAACCCACAUGUAAUGAUUGAUCAUUUCAGGAGUAUAAAGUCCUGAGUGUUUUUAGGCCAAAGACAGUAAGUGUGACAGGCUAUAUAUGCUUCAAAACUUUCCUUGAGAGUGACCAAAGAUUUGGAAGAAUUUGAUUUUUCCCUUUGCUCACCUCUCCCCACCCCUUACCACCUUCUACAGGUAUUGAUUGCUUAUAAAUAUCUUUUAUAUCAAACUCUGGCUUAGCAUUUGCUUCUAGAGAACCCGUAUACUUUCAGAUAGAUAGAUGGUAGAUAGAUAGAUAGAUAGAUAGAUAGAUAGAUAGAUAGAUGUAAUUUUUAGACUUACCUGUAAGUGUAAGUGAAAACUACAGGUUCACAAUGAUACCUACCUUUUCAUGAUUUAAGCUCCCUUCACAGACAUAAAAUGUCUCCCUUUAUCCUUAUAUUUACUUAUUUGCUCAGCACCCUUGCCUGUAAUCAGGGUCCCAAUCUCACAGCCAUCCACCCUCCAGUAGUGUAGACAUUCACUUCACCCCAUCCAUGAGCCCCAGCUUUGUUCCUCCCUAAUAGCUGCUUGGGCUUCAACAUCCCCCAGCUUGAAAAUAAUCUCCUUCCACUCUUGAGCUGCCACUCACACUCCCACCCCCACAUGGAUGCCACCACAUCCACCUGGGCCCUAGUGUCAAGGGGCCCUCUUAUAAAAGCAUCCCACCUGCAUUCUGCAAACCAUUCUGGGUCAAAGUAGCUCACUUCCUUACACUCUAAAGUAGACAGGCAAGUACACUAUUCGGCCCUGCCUGAUGGCUUUAGGACUCAAGUAUUUAGGAAGGGAAGAUGAAUUAACAGUGUGAUUUUUUGAGAUUCUAUUGCUGUGUGUAUCAGUAGUUAUUUUUAUUUACUAAGUCUUGCUCCAUUGUAUCAUUAUACCACGGGUAGUUUAUCCAUUUUCCUAUUGAUGGACCCUGGAUUUUCAGUUUUUAGCUAGUAUGAAUAAAGCUGCUCUGAGCAUUCUGUUUAAAUCUUUGGUGGACAUAGGUUUUCAUUUCUAUUGUAUGAAUACCUAGGAAUAGAAUCACCUUAUAAGAAACUACAAAACCAGUUUCCAAAAUGGUUUUACCAUUUAACACUCUAACCAAUGUACAAAGGUUCCAUUUGCUCCACAGCCUCACCUCAUUUUGGAUUCCCAGUCUCAGCCAAUUCUAGUGAAUACAUAAUUGUAUUUCAUUGCAUUUUUAGUUUACAUUCCCCUAAUGGCUAAAGAGGAAGACAUUUUUCUAUAUGCUUAAUGGCCAUUUGUAUACCUUGUCUAUAAAGUAUUUGUUCGGAGUUCCCGUUGUGGCGCAGUGGUUAACGAAUCCGACUAGGAACCAUGAGGUUGCGGGUUCGGUCCCUGCCCUUGCUCAGUGGGUUAAUGAUCAGGCGUUGCCGUGAGCUGUGGUGUAGGUUGCAGACGCGGCUCGGAUCCCACGUUGCUGUGGCUCUGGCGUAGGCCAGUAGCUACAGCUCCGAUUCAACCCCUAGCCUGGGAACCUCCAUAUGCUGCGGGAGCGGCCCAAAGAAAUAGCAAAAAAAGACAAAAAAAAAGUAUUUGUUCAAUUCUUGCAUAGUCUUUUGACAUCAUUUUUAUUCAUUGCAUUAAAUUUUACUGAUUCCUUAGAUAUUUUGCAUACAACUUAUCAGAUUGUAUACAUAUGUGUAUAUAAAUAUACACACACACAUAUAUACAAAGAAAAUAUUUUCUCCUAGUCGUUGGAUUACAGGUUCAUUUUAUUAAAGAUAUAUUUUUGUGAGAAGCUUUAAUUUUGAUAGAAUCUGGUUUACUCAUUGUUUUUCUUCAAUGUUAAUGUGCUUUCUCUUUUCUGCGUAGGCAAUCUUUGCUUAUGCCAAUGUUUUGAGGACAUUUUUCUGUUUUCUUAUGCAGGCUAUAUAAAUUUAUCUUUUAAAUUUUUGUCUGUGAUCUAUCCCAGUUACUUUUUUCUGCAUGGUGUGAGGUAGAGGUUGAUGUUUAAUUACUUACAGAUGAAUACCUAGUUGUUACAGAAGCACUUCAUAAAAAAAAUCCCUUUUCUUGUUCAAUUCCAUCGCAAAUUUUUUUAAAAAUCAAUGACAGCCUAUCGUAUUUGUAUUUGAGAACUUUUCAGAUAUUUUAUUUUUAUUAAUUUCUCAUUCCAUUGUAUAUGCAUAGAGAACAUAUUUAUAUGAUGUCAACAUUUUUAAUUUUAUUGAGGCUUAUUAAAAGCUCAGCAUUGGGUUCCAUUUUGUUAAGUUCCAAGACAUGUGAAAGUAGUAUAUAUUCUGUACUUGGGUGUAGAGUUCUAAAAAUAUCAAUUAGGUUAACUUGGUUGAGAGUACUUGGUCAACAUUCUAUAUCCAUCCUGUUAUUUUUCUCUAUUGAUUCUAUCAGUUGCUGAAAGGAUAUUAUUAAAAUCUCUAAUUAUAUCAUAGGUGGAUUUGUUUUCCUCUAUGGUAUUGCCAGUUUUUCUUCAUGUAUUUUGAAAGAUUUCCUACUGGUUGCAUGUGAAUUUUUUAAUCUUUUUACCAUUUUUAAAUGCCACAGUUUAUUUCUUCUAUUGCUGCUUGUCCUGAUGUCCAUUUUAUCUGAUAUUAAAAUAGGUGUUUGAACUUCUCUUUAGUGUUGCAUGAUAUUUUUUUAAUAAUUCUUUUGACUAAUUUUUGCUUUAUAUUUUAAGUGUACCUCUUGUAGUUGAGUAUUUUUUUUUCAUCUGGUUUAUUCUUUACCUUUUAUUUGAAAUGCUUAGUCCAUUUACAUUUAUUGUGGAUAGGGUUGCAUUUAAAUCUACCAUGUCUCUGCUUUAUCAUAAUACAAUAUUUAAUAUAUAAUGGCUUGAGUUUUACUGAAGAAAAUUAAAAACACACCAAAUUAUAAGCUAUGUUUAAAAAUUCCCUCAAAUAUCUCUGAGAUGAUGUAUUCCUGUGAAAGAUCUGCCCUGGUGAACGAAGUUUAGGAAGCUCUGUUCUAGUUCCUCUUCCAUCACCUGUUAAUAGCCUUUCUUUCAACGUGUUAACUAUAUUGACCAUAUUGUAGUGUUAAAUAUCAGAAUAUAAGUAUCAGUGGUAAUGAACCCAACUAGAAUCCAUGAGGAUGCAUAUUUGACUCUGGCAUUGCUCAGUAGGUUAAGCAUCUGGCAUUGCCAUGAGUUGCAGUGUAGGUUGCAGAUGCAGCUUGGAGCUGGCUGUGGCUGUGGCGUAGGCUGGCAGCUGCAGCUC